UCUAAAGCAAGGAAAUGCAAUAAUGAAAACACUUAACAUAAAAGCAUAUGGUCAGUAACAGAAAACUUAAGUGACAGAAAACACAUGUGCCAUUCAAGUCUAUUACACCAUCUGCAAACUAAUGAGAACCACCUCCAGAAAUCUGGCUUACCACUACAAAAAGGAAGAUUCUCCCUUCCAGCUGGGAGCUGGGAAAUGCUGGCUGGCUGAAGUGGCAUGUUGGCAGGGCCAUCACCAGCCAGCUGCCCUGCCAGCUGGGGCCAGUGAGCAGGCAGGGGGAAGAAGGGCUCAGACAGCUGCUGCCAGCACAGUGCCCAGGACUGCAGGGAGCACAGCGCACAGGAGUGCAUUCCUACAGAGCUGGGACAGAUCCUGCUACUGGGAAGAAGCUGUUGCUGUGAUGAGUACAAAGACCGAUAAUAAAACAGCAAAAUGCUUCAGUCUCCAAAGGAAACUUCAAGACUGAGGUCUUCUUAGUGGCAUGCCUUUUCAAUAAAAGGUGUAGACACCUAUUCUCCUUUAGCUAGAACUGUGAAUUAUGUGAUUUUAUACAUGUUUGUUUCAUUGACUUUACUGACUGUAGAGCUCUAAGAACAAAAAUGGAAUGCUAAAGAAAUGCGCAGUGUAGUUGCUAAGAAGUCAUUUUAAAUUUUAACUUGUUAUUAAGGUGACAAAUACAAAUAUCAAGCUUAAUUAACAGCUAAUUUACUUGCUCUCUUUAGGGAUGUACUUGCUUAUUCUACAGCUGCUGAUUUCAUUCUCUCAGAGAACCAGAAGAGAUUCAGUGAAGGCUGCACUUGAAUGAACACUGAUACGUCAUGCUUGCAUGCAGUAACACUGUGACAGAACACCUGUGUGUGCAGUACCCACGCAGCAAAAGGAGAGGUCUCAUGCACGAAACUCCACAAAUUCCACCCGUGUGUCCUCCUGACAGACACUACUGAAUCACAGGGCAGCAGAACCAGAGCCCAGAACUCCCCACCCUACACUUCUUCUAUUUAAGCAGCACAGUUUUGCUGAUGGCAGCAAGGUAAACUAUUUCAGAAGAAAAACAAAGCCUUCUGAAAGCAUAUCUUUGAAUUCUGUUGGUUGAAAUUCUCUAAUAGCAGCUGCUGGACCUCCAGGCACACUCCAGAGCCAUUAGCUCCAUGCAGCGCACUCAGCUCAUCCUUCCUCACAAGAGCAUGUCAGAGCAGUCAAAAAGCACGGUGGUUCAUCUUAAGAGCUAGUACUUUUGUGCAUUUGUUUAUGGGGGGGAAGGGGGGGAAUCCAAGAGGACUGGACUUCUUACAUAAUGAGAAAGAAAAUGGGAUGUGUGCAUGAAAUUACUCAACAUACAGUCCCAGAUAUUUGUUUUACAACUCUUUAACUAAGUUGCAUUCAUAUUGCAGUUGGAGUCCUGGCUAAAAGAUUUAAAACACAGAAGAGGAAAAGAAGUGGCAACAGAUAACAAACCCUGCUGGUACAUGAAACUACAACAACAACCCCAGAACACUGGUGAAAAUUUAACUUUCCUCCUCAACAGGUUUAGCCCAUGACAGAGGUUCUGCAUCCUGCACAGAACCGUGUGCAAGGCUAUGAGAAACUGUUCUACGUAGGUUAGUGCAGUGCAUAAAACAGCUCUUUUUUUUUUUAUUGCUGGAGGCCAGAAGCCAUUCAGAGCUGAGUAAACACGAGAGAGAGCAGGUGACCGAUCCAUAAAGAAUAAUUUGCCACAUCCCAGGUAAAUACGUGACUCUAACUCUAUUUCCAGACAGUAGCAGGAAAGCAUGCAAGGAGCAACUUCCUCACAGCUAACAAGUUGUCUUUAAUGUAUUUGCAUUUUCUAUUUUACUGUUUUCCCUUUUUCAUAGCAGCUCCUGACUUCUCACUUGGUCUUAAACUGCAUUCUUUUCAGUCUCUCUGGCUACCAAGCCCAGAGCUGUAGGUCAGCCCCAGCAUUGGCCAGUUCUUGGCCAAGACGAGGAGUGACCACCUUUCCUUUUUCUGGCUGGACCAGGCUGCAGCACAGCUACAGCAACCUGGCACCUGGAGCAAGACAACUGACACCACUUGAGUAUGUUCCCAGGUUCUGAAGGCUGCACUGAGUUUUCUGCUGGUUAGUUUAAAACUAACAUACAAAAGCUGCAGCCUCAAACCAACCUGCAGUGUGAACAAAUUCUUGGUAAUGGGUUGAGCAAGCAGGGAAAUUCCUGCUUUUAAGCUCAAGCUGGGUUUGUGUGUGUCUGCCUUCCCUUGCUUCAUUGUAUUGACAGCAUACUGCCAAAGGCUCCGCUUGUAAGAGGAAAAGAGCUCCUGGAAAACACUCAAAUAGUAGAACAAGAAGCUGUUUAAUGCUGGUUGAAGAGUUGUAAGAUGUGAAAACAGCUGCUGCUGCCAUUUCACCUCUUUAACAGGUUAAUCCAGCAGCAUCAUUUCUUUACUAUCCACUUCACAUAAGCAGAACAAACCAGGCAAAGAGGUUAGCAUAACUGAUAUUAAAAGCUUGGCUCAACUACCAGGUUAGAAUGCAAGGACUCAAGAGGACAGCAGUAUCACCUUUCUUUUCCCCUUCCAAGUACACGAUGAGCUACAGUUUGAGAUGAUGGUUCUAUUCUUCAUUUGAAAGAGCUGUUAUAUUCCACAAGACAUGUGAUGUGAGUCCAACCUAUCUGUUAUUUUUCCCCCACUAGAAAAUGAACUGACACACAGUGACAGUAGCAACAGUGCUGAGUCUCACCUUUUUCAUUCUCUUUGUAUCUGCAUAUGCCAGCUGGAAUUUCAGCUUGAAACAUAGAGCCCACCAUGAUUUCCUGUUUUGAAAUAACAGACAGAAAAAGUUAAGCAACCACAGCCUUGCAGUUUUUUUGUUAGCAAGUGAAAAUUUGUCUGUAUCAUCCUUUCUCCCUUAAAGCUUUCAUUGCUCAAAAUCUAAAACCAAUCUGUAAAUAAGCAUUAGAGAAAAAUGCAUUUUUCACUUUCUGGGGAGGUCUUUAACAUUAUUACCACAAAAACACUCAUAUUUGUUGAGAAAAAAAGGGAGAAGAGUUAUGAGAUCUAUAGAUCAAAGUUACUAGGUAGCAGCUCAGCUCAUUAUUCACAGAACAUCGAGUUUGAUAACCGACCUUAAUAUUUACCUUUUUCCAGUCUUCUGAGGGAAUAUAAUCUUCAUCUUCUUCAGACUCCUCUUCUAUUUCGCUGUCUAGGAGAAAUGAGCCAACAUGUACACAGAACCAUGCUGGGGCAGUGCUGGGGCUGUAGCCAGCCACCGGGAGUGCCGUGGGGUGAGGGGUGGACACAGGCAGUGCUGCAGCCCCACUCUGCCUCCCUGCCACCUUAUCUCACACCGCAGAAGCACGGAAGGCAGGCCGGCUGGCACCGCUAAAUGCUCCAGCAGUGACUGCCUUAAAAACGACCCACCCAAUGUUUGUGUUUAGAACGGCUCGAGAUACGCAGCAGGCUAUGAAAAGUGAAGGCACAAAUGAAUACAUCCAUCAGUUUUAGUCCUUCCUAAUAAGUCUUGUUUUCCCUCACUCACCUGUGGAGCAGUUGAGACAACCCACAUUUACUACACACAGUUACAUCCUGAAAGUAUUCCUGCAUGCACAUUCAGCAUCCACAUGUGGAUUUCAACCCCAUUUUCGAUGAGCUCCCUGCUUUAUUGCUGCCAUUCCCUCUCCCUUGCAGCAGCUGCCACUGAAUUUAAGGUAAACUACAGCACAACACACAAGAAAUUCACAAGCGUGCUUCUGUCAGCCCCACUGGGAUUUAGUAGGCUUGGAUGUACUGCUCAGAGAUGUAUAGCAGUGCUUCAGACAGAUUACUUAGGAUAAGGGCUGACAUCAAUUUUAGGCCCUAUGACAAGGGGUAGGUGCCAUUCACAAUGCAACGGAAGCAACCAUACCACAGGUUAUUCAUAUAUAGCGAGUAAGAGCAUCAGCACUAAAAUGAUUUACACAUUGAGUUGUAUUUUAUACAUAGCUGAACACUGUAAAAACUCCAAAGCUAGUGCAAUACAUGUGUGCUAUCCUAAAGUCUAAAAAUAAGAGCUCAUUUAAGAUAUUUGCAACCCUCUGCAUAGCUACAUGCUGAGGCUCCUUGAUGGUUUUGGAUUAAAAUAAUGCAGUCCCGAGUGAGAGCGGGCAGCCAGAGCUCCAGCAUGAAGGUAAUACCACACAGAACAGGCAGGUGCUGCUGAUCCCCUGCUGAAUGCUGCCAUCACACAGCGUAGCAGCACACAGGCUACAGAUUCCGUAGAGGAGUAUUUGUUAGAUCACAUUCCUCACUGUACAAAUCAGUCUCCAAAGCCAUUUACUGCACCUGGACUCCGCAUGCAAGGAUCUCUUCCUGAAGGGCACACCUGUACAAGCCAGGAUGUGGGUGUCAUGGAACGAAAGGAGAUACGCCGUUUGAGAUGUUUUUUCAGAACAUUUUUCCACAAAUUAAUCCUUUAAGAAGAGAGUAUCUGCUCUUACAGAGAAUGCCUUAUCUCGGGAGAAGCUGUAGUGUUCAGCUAACAACAGGAAUUUCUGGUUGCCUACUGAGUGUAAUGGUAAACAAAACCAGUGCUAAGAGAACAAACACACAUCCAUAGAUAUCUGGAUGUAUACUUCAGAAACAGAAUACCGGUAAAUUAACUAAGCAGUCUGUAAGCAAAGAGCAAUCCUUUUGAGGUAGCUGUGCUUAGUGCUAAGCUGUACGUACUUGUAUCGAAAUAUUUACAUCGACGAGGGCGAAUCAACUCCUGUGGAUCUUGAGAAGCAACUGAUGGUGCCGGGUCGUCAUUAGAUGACUG